rnacentral:rRNA from 1 species
GAUGAACGCUGGCGGCGUGCUUAACACAUGCAAGUCGAACGGUGAACACGGAGCUUGCUCUGUGGGAUCAGUGGCGAACGGGUGAGUAACACGUGAGCAACCUGCCCCUGACUCUGGGAUAAGCGCUGGAAACGGCGUCUAAUACUGGAUAUGUGACGUGAUCGCAUGGUCUGCGUCUGGAAAGAAUUUCGGUUGGGGAUGGGCUCGCGGCCUAUCAGCUUGUUGGUGAGGUAAUGGCUCACCAAGGCGUCGACGGGUAGCCGGCCUGAGAGGGUGACCGGCCACACUGGGACUGAGACACGGCCCAGACUCCUACGGGAGGCAGCAGUGGGGAAUAUUGCACAAUGGGCGCAAGCCUGAUGCAGCAACGCCGCGUGAGGGAUGACGGCCUUCGGGUUGUAAACCUCUUUUAGCAGGGAAGAAGCGAGAGUGACGGUACCUGCAGAAAAAGCGCCGGCUAACUACGUG